AGGUUAACGCAAUACGUACUGGCUUUCGAAGCGUUCCUUUAAGAAAUAAAUUUAGUGAAGAGCUGGAAUUGGCAACACUUCUAGUACAUAUUGUUAUUCGCUCUAGUAGCGAAGAGAAUGGCUGAGGAAGUGUUAUGCGUAUGUAAAGAGUUACAAUUGGAAGUAUUAGUUAUUUGUAGACUUCAAACGCAACAAGCUAAAACACAACUAACAUUUGUUCAAAAGUGCCUGAAUAUGUUAUUUUUAACAAACAGAUCGAGCUAUUUGGUGUAGAAAAUCUAUAUCUAUUAAAUAAAAAUCAGUUGGUAUCUGUAAAAAGGUGCAUCACUUGAAAUA